AGGUUCGCUCAGCUAAUUAAAGAUAAAGGGGGGCUUUUCGGCGAAACUAUUCUUGAAAGCAAGGAUGGAACCCUCUUAGCUCCCUCAAAUGAAGCUUUUAGAAAUGUUGACAUGAACAAGAUGAAUUAUAUCCUCGCUCAUCAAGCAUUGAGGGAAGAAUUUUUUGGACUUCAUUUUACCAGGAAAC